rnacentral:rRNA from 1 species
CACACCAUGGGAGUUGGUUCGGCCUUAAGACAGUGCGCUAACUCAGCAAUGAGAGGCAGCUGGCCACGGCCGGGUCAGCGACUGGGGUG